GACGAACGCUGGCGGCGUGCUUAACACAUGCAAGUCGAACGGUGAUGCUCCAGCUUGCUGGAGUGGAUCAGUGGCGAACGGGUGAGUAACACGUGAGCAACCUGCCCCAGACUCUGGAAUAAGCGCUGGAAACGGCGUCUAAUACUGGAUACGAAACUGGCCCGCAUGGGCAUGGUUUGGAAAGUUUUUCGGUUUGGGAUGGGCUCGCGGCCUAUCAGCUUGUUGGUGAGGUAAUGGCUCACCAAGGCGACGACGGGUAGCCGGCCUGAGAGGGCGACCGGCCACACUGGGACUGAGACACGGCCCAGACUCCUACGGGAGGCAGCAGUGGGGAAUAUUGCACAAUGGGCGAAAGCCUGAUGCAGCGACGCCGCGUGAGGGAUGACGGCCUUCGGGUUGUAAACCUCUUUCAGCAGGGAAGAAGCGAAAGUGACGGUACCUGCAGAAGAAGCACCGGCUAACUACGU
rnacentral:rRNA from 1 species